CGAGGGGCGUGGCCUAGAGGGGCGGGGAGGCGGGGCCACGCCCCCAGGAGGCCGGCGCUUGGCCGCCUUGACCAGUCCGGAGCCGCGCGCGGACGCGAGGUGGGUGGGUCUGCGGAAGCGGGUUCCUCCUCCUUUAAGGUUCGGUGACUCGUGGGCAGCCGGCCGCAGUGUCCGUGCACUUGUUUUCCGCAGAAGGUGAUUAUCGUGGCAACUCCUGUUAGUGCCUUCGCCGGGCACCCAGCACCCGGUCUCUGGCCCUUGGCACUCAGCACCCGGCACCCAGCGCUCAGCCUGCAGAGCACCUGGGCGGUCAAGCAGGACGUCUCCCGCGGGGUCUUGCGCUCUGCCAAAGAUUUUUAUUUAUUUAUUUUUUAACUGCCGUGUUACGUUGAAUUCUUCCAGAAGCAA
rnacentral:lncRNA from 1 species